rnacentral:rRNA from 1 species
AUUGAACGCUGGCGGCAGGCCUAACACAUGCAAGUCGAACGGUAACAGGAAACAGCUUGCUGUUUCGCUGACGAGUGGCGGACGGGUGAGUAAUGUCUGGGAAACUGCCUGAUGGAGGGGGAUAACUACUGGAAACGGUAGCUAAUACCGCAUAACGUCGCAAGACCAAAGAGGGGGACCUUCGGGCCUCUUGCCAUCGGAUGUGCCCAGAUGGGAUUAGCUAGUAGGUGGGGUAACGGCUCACCUAGGCGACGAUCCCUAGCUGGUCUGAGAGGAUGACCAGCCACACUGGAACUGAGACACGGUCCAGACUCCUACGGGAGGCAGCAGUGGGGAAUAUUGCACAAUGGGCGCAAGCCUGAUGCAGCCAUGCCGCGUGUAUGAAGAAGGCCUUCGGGUUGUAAAGUACUUUCAGCGGGGAGGAAGGGAGUAAGGUUAAUACCUUUACUCAUUGACGUUACCCGCAGAAGAAGCACCGGCUAACUCCGUG